AAUAGAUACCCGGGUAGUCCAUGCCGUAAACGAUGUCUACCAGCCGUUGGAGCCCUUGAGGCUUUAGUGGCGCAGCUAACGCGAUAAGUAGACCGCCUGGGGAGUACGGUCGCAAGACUAAAACUCAAAUGAAUUGACGGGGGCCCGCACAAGCGGUGGAGCAUGUGGUUUAAUUCGAUGCAACGCGAAGAACCUUACCUGGCCUUGACAUACAGAGAACUUUCCAGAGAUGGAUUGGUGCCUUCGGGAACUCUGAUACAGGUGCUGCAUGGCUGUCGUCAGCUCGUGUCGUGAGAUGUUGGGUUAAGUCCCGCAACGAGCGCAACCCUUUUCCUUAUUUGCCAGCACUUCGGGUGGGAACUUUAAGGAUACUGCCAGUGACAAACUGGAGGAAGGCGGGGACGACGUCAAGUCAUCAUGGCCCUUACGGCCAGGGCUACACACGUGCUACAAUGGUCGGUACAAAGGGUUGCUACUGCGCGAGCAGAUGCUAAUCUCAAAAAGCCGAUCGUAGUCCGGAUCGC
rnacentral:rRNA from 1 species